UUAUUAUAGUAUGAUUCUGUUUAUUUAAAAGUUCAAAAACAGACAAAACAAAACUGGAGUUCUUGUAUGAGGAUGAUCAAUUUGUGAUAAGUGAUCAAGUUGUACACAUGAGAUUCAUGUAUGUUUCUGUAUAUAAACUUUAUUUUUCAAAAGAAAAGUUAAAAAUCUUAAAAUGGGGAGAGAGAGAGCAGUAGAGAGGGAGGGAGGAGCUUUUAUAUAAAGGUAAUUACUUUGUAAUAAGUGAUCAAGCUGUAAAUGUAAAAUUUGUAUAUUUUUCUGUAUGAAUUUUACUUUUCAAAAUAAAUAUUUAAAAUCUAAGCUGAAAUGAGAGUGGUAAGAGGAAGGAAGUUAGGGGAGGAGGAAGAAAGGAAGACAGAUGGGGAGGAAGAAAGGAAGACAGAUGGAAAGGAAGAAAGGAAGGAAAGACCAGAUUGACUAAUAUGUUUUUCUGGCAGCCCUUGCCCUGUGUGGCUGGUUAGGUGCAUGAACCUAGCAUGUACCACACAUCUAAUCAUGUCUUUCUGUCCUGUAUUCCCAGGCAGGUUUGUUUCUGGUCUAAACUAUGUUCUUAAAUUUGUUUCGAUUAAAAGUAGAACUUCAUUAAAAAAAAAUGGUCAAUGAUCCUAUGUAUUUCCUAUCACAUUUCAUAUAAAAUAUUAAAAAUUAAUAAACCACACAAAUGUUUAAGUCAGGAACAUCAAGAAGAAAUAACAAAGGAGACUGAGUGUGGCCAGAAAGAGAGGAGAAAACUUGGAAGACAGUGGCCUGACAGAAGUCAAGGGAUGAAAGCAUUUGAAAGAAGUGGCUCAGGCAACAGAAACAGAUAUUGAAGAGAGUUCAAAU